rnacentral:rRNA from 1 species
UACAGAGGUCUCAAGCGUUGUUCGGAUUCAUUGGGCGUAAAGGGUGCGUAGGCGGCGCGGUAAGUCGGGUGUGAAAUUCGAUGCUUAACUCCGAAACUGCAUUCGAUACUGCCGUGCUUUGAGGACUGGAGAGGAGACUGGAAUUUACGGUGUAGCAGUGAAAUGCGUAGAGAUCGUAAGGAAGACCAGUGGCGAAGGCGGGUCUCUGGACAGUUCCUGACACUGAGGCACGAAGGCCAGGGGAGCAAACGGG